rnacentral:rRNA from 1 species
GGGGAGUACGGUCGCAAGACCGAAACUCAAAGGAAUUGACGGGGGCCUGCACAAGCGGUGGAGCAUGUGGUUUAAUUCGAUACAAUGCACAAAACCUUACCAGCCCUUGACAUAUGAACAACAAAACCUGUCCUUAACAGGAUGGUACUGACUUUCAUACAGGUGCUGCAUGGCUGUCAUCAGCUCGUGUCGUGAGAUGUUUGGUCAAGUCCUAUAACGAGCGAAACCCUCGUUUUGUGUUGCUGAGACAUGCGCCUAAGGAGAAAUUGCCACCGAGUGACGUGCCAGCGCUACUACUUGAUUGAGUGCCAGCACGUAGCUGUGCUUUCAGCAAGAAUUUCACCAUUGGGAGCCAGUGCCUUUCGAAGCACUUUCACGUGUGAACCGAAGUCGUCUUGCCCAAGACCCACGGAGACCUACCUAUAGUGACGUCAAAGUACAAGUGAACAUGGAGGUUUGGUUGAAAUUGGUUACGACGACGUCGAGUUGGCGGCGGAGGAAGACUCGGCAUGAAGGCCAGAAAAUGGUGUGGAACGUAGUGGUAAUAGUACGCGCCCCGCUCCGAAACAAAGAAAAAGGUGCGUGCCGCACUCACGAGGGACUGCCAGUGAGAUACUGGAGGAAGGUGGGGAUGACGUCAAGUCCGCAUGGCCCUUAUGGGCUGGGCCACACACGUGCUACAAUGGCAAUGACAAUGGGAAGCAAGGCUGUAAGGCGGAGCAAAUCCGGAAAGAUUGCCUCAGUUCGGAUUGUUCUCUGCAACUCGGGAACAUGAAGUCGAAAUCGCUAGUAAUUGCGGAUCAGCAUGCCGCGGUGAAUAUGUACCCGGGCCCUGUACACACCGCCCGUCACACCCUGGGAAUUGGUUUCGCCCGAAGCAUCGGACCAAUGAUCUCCCAUGACUUCUGUGUACCACUAGUGCCACAAAGGCCUUUGGUGGUCUUAUUGGCGCAUACCACGAUGGGUUCUUCGACUGGGGUGAAGUCGUAACAAGGUAGCCGUAGGGGAACCUGUGGCUG